UACGUAGGGGGCAAGCGUUGUCCGGAAUUAUUGGGCGUAAAGAGCGUGUAGGCGGCCCGAUUAGUCCGCUGUGAAAGUCCAGGGCUCAACCCUGGAAUGCCGGUGGAUACUGUCGGGCUAGAGUCCGGAAGGGGCGAGUGGAAUCCCUGGUGUAGCGGUGAAAUGCGCAGAUAUCAGGAGGAACACCAAUGGCGAAGGCAGCUCGCUGGGACGUGACUGACGCUGAGACGCGAAAGCGUGGGGAGCAAACAGG
rnacentral:rRNA from 1 species